rnacentral:rRNA from 1 species
UACAGAGGUCUCAAGCGUUGUUCGGAAUCACUGGGCGUAAAGGGUGUGUAGGCGGUGUGCUAAGUCAGAUGUGAAAGCCCGGGGCUCAACCUCGGAACUGCAUCCGAUACUGGCAUGCUAGAGAAUUGGAGAGGAGUCUAGAAUUCACGGUGUAGCAGUGAAAUGCGUAGAUAUCGUGAGGAAUACCAAGCGCGAAGGCAGGACUCUGGACAUUUUCUGACGCUGAGACACGAAGGCCAGGGGAGCAAACAGG